rnacentral:tRNA from 1 species
GGGGGCGUAGCUCAGCUGGCUAGAGCACCUGCCUUGCACGCAGGGGGUCAUCGGUUCGAAUCCGUUCGCCUCCA